rnacentral:tRNA from 1 species
GGAGACGUGGCCGAGUGGUUUAUGGCAGCGGUUUGCUAAACCGUCGUAGGGAAAUUCUCUACCGUGUGUUCGAAUCACACCGUCUCCGCCA